rnacentral:rRNA from 1 species
GUGGAUCAGUGGCGAACGGGUGAGUAACACGUGAGCAAUCUGCCCCUGACUCUGGGAUAAGCGCUGGAAACGGCGUCUAAUACUGGAUACGAACAGCGACCGCAUGGUCAGUUGUUGGAAAGAAUUUCGGUCAGGGAUGAGCUCGCGGCCUAUCAGCUUGUUGGUGAGGUAAUGGCUCACCAAGGCGUCGACGGGUAGCCGGCCUGAGAGGGUGACCGGCCACACUGGGACUGAGACACGGCCCAGACUCCUACGGGAGGCAGCAGUGGGGAAUAUUGCACAAUGGGCGCAAGCCUGAUGCAGCAACGCCGCGUGAGGGACGACGGCCUUCGGGUUGUAAACCUCUUUUAGCAGGGAAGAAGCGAAAGUGACGGUACCUGCAGAAAAAGCGCCGGCUAACUACGUGCCAGCAGCCGCGGUAAUACGUAGGGCGCAAGCGUUAUCCGGAAUUAUUGGGCGUAAAGAGCUCGUAGGCGGUUUGUCGCGUCUGCUGUGAAAUCCCGAGGCUCAACCUCGGGUCUGCAGUGGGUACGGGCAGACUAGAGUGCGGUAGGGGAGAUUGGAAUUCCUGGUGUAGCGGUGGAAUGCGCAGAUAUCAGGAGGAACACCGAUGGCGAAGGCAGAUCUCUGGGCCGUAACUGACGCUGAGGAGCGAAAGGGUGGGGAGCAAACAGGCUUAGAUACCCUGGUAGUCCACCCCGUAAACGUUGGGAACUAGUUGUGGGGUCCAUUCCACGGAUUCCGUGACGCAGCUAACGCAUUAAGUUCCCC